CAACAUGAAGUUGGGAGGCCUCAUUCUUCUCGUGAUCCUCAUUACACUCAGCCUAGGGGUACAGGCGCUACCGGCUAAAAGGAUGCAAGUGAUGGACUACUGCACUAUACAAUGUGCAUUCGACUCGGACUGCAGGCCCAAAGAGAAGUGUGUCAACAAAGACUGUAACUUCAUCUGUGUCCCAAGUUAAGGACUGUUUCUACCGGCAAAAGACAGAUGAAAGAAGAAGACAUGGAUGGCAACUGCAGCGAGCAUGAAGGGAAGAGGGGU